AGUGAACGCUGGCGGUAGGCCUAACACAUGCAAGUCGAACGGCAGCACAGAGGAGCUUGCUCCUUGGGUGGCGAGUGGCGGACGGGUGAGGAAUACAUCGGAAUCUACUCUGUUGUGGGGGAUAACGUAGGGAAACUUACGCUAAUACCGCAUACGACCUACGGGUGAAAGCAGGGGACCUUCGGGCCUUGCGCGAUUGAAUGAGCCGAUGUCGGAUUAGCUAGUUGGCGGGGUAAAGGCCCACCAAGGCGACGAUCCGUAGCUGGUCUGAGAGGAUGAUCAGCCACACUGGAACUGAGACACGGUCCAGACUCCUACGGGAGGCAGCAGUGGGGAAUAUUGGACAAUGGGCGCAAGCCUGAUCCAGCCAUACCGCGUGGGUGAAGAAGGCCUUCGGGUUGUAAAGCCCUUUUGUUGGGAAAGAAAUCCAGCUGGCUAAUACCCGGUCGGGAUGACGGUACCCAAAGAAUAAGCACCGGCUAACUUCGUGCCAGCCGCCGCAGUAA
rnacentral:rRNA from 1 species